rnacentral:rRNA from 1 species
GAUGAACGCUGGCGGCGUGCUUAACACAUGCAAGUCGAACGAAGCACUUUAUUUGAUUUCCUUCGGGACUGAUUAUUUUGUGACUGAGUGGCGGACGGGUGAGUAACGCGUGGGUAACCUGCCUUGUACAGGGGGAUAACAGUUGGAAACGGCUGCUAAUACCGCAUAAUCGCACAGCAUCGCAUGAUGCAGUGUGAAAAACUCCGGUGGUAUAAGAUGGACCCGCGUUGGAUUAGCUAGUUGGUGAGGUAACGGCACACCAAGGCGACGAUCCAUAGCCGACCGGAGAGGGUGACCGGUCACAUUGGGACUGCGACACUGCCCAAACUCCGACGGGAGGCAGCAGUGGAGAAUAUUGCACAAUGGGCGAAAGCGUGAUGCAGUGACGCCGCGUGAGAGAAGAAGUAUUUCGGUAUGUAAAGCUCUAUCAGCAGGGAAGAUAAUGACGGUACCUGACAAAGAAGCACCGGCUAAAUACGUG